AUUGGCUGGACUCUGCCAAGAGGUGGGUAUUGGAACAUCAGUCAGCUGGUGGGCUCCAUGUCGCUUUGUAUCCUGGGAGAAUCAAAUUAUGAGUAAAAUGCCACUGUGAGGUGGGUACGAUGCCACGGGGAGGGUUAGCUCAGCUUGCCCCAGCGUUCGUUCCUUGUACCUGUAUAGCCUCCCUCCCCCUCCCUCAUUCUUUUCUCACCUUGUUCUCUUUCUUUAGUAUGACCCACCUCGUGAGAUUUUAGGGAAGAAAGACCAUAGUGAUUGCAUCUAUUAAGAAGCCCUUACUGACCUGCAUGGUGAGGCUCGUGUGAAAUUUCAGCAUGCGGGAGAUUGAGACAGAAGGAUCACAAGUUCAAGGCCACCCUAGGCUAUGUAUCAAGAACUUUUUUUGAACAAAGAAAAAAGAAACGGCAGUACAUAAUUUCUCCUAAGGCUGGAGAUGAGGCUGUCAGCUGAGAGCUCCUGCUUGCCGAAGACCAUGGGCUGGAAUCCCUGUACUGCAUGGACCAGAUGUGGUGGCACAUGAAGGUCAAGGCUAUCCUCAACCACACAUGAGUUCAAGGUCAGCCUGGGAUACAUGCAAUCCUGUCUCAAAACAAAGAACAGUUCUUUCAAGAGGAAAUCUUAACAUUAAGGCUGUGCUGAUCCAAGGUGAGAAAGAUGAGUUUUUCAAGACUCCGUAACACUCAGUUACAACCACA
rnacentral:lncRNA from 1 species